GAGGGUAUAGCUCAGUGGUAGAGUGCCUGCUUAGCACGCAUGAGGUUCUGGGGUCAAUCUCCAGUAUCUCCA
rfam:Camelus ferus unplaced genomic scaffold scaffold1669, whole genome shotgun sequence.